UAGACCCAGGUGAAGUUAAUUUAAAGCUGUUUUUUUUUUUGGAGAGUGAUAAUGUGAAGAGAAUGCUAAUUUUUUUUCUCUCCUAGGCUAUAUGCUGAUUAUAUAGGCAUAUCUUCCAAGAAAUCAUUAUGCUGAGCUCUGAGAGGAAUGCAGGGAAAGGACAACAGGCCUACCAUCUUAGGACUUUUCAUGCAAUUGUGAAGGACAUAGAAGGUUUAUAAGAAGGCUCUGCUCACAGUGGUCACUCAUUGAUUCAGUAUGGUGGAAAUUUAAUCUCAUUUUAUUCUUCCAUGAUCACAAAUUCAAGGUAAAGAGAAUUUUGAGCUAAAUACUGGUUCUAAAGUCUGUUUCGUGGAAUAACACAUGUCAUCUGCCAAAAUGUUAUUGAAUAAAGUUAAUCACGUAUCUA